UCAAGUUAUUAAGGGUGCAGGGCGGAUGCCUUGGCACUAGGAGCCGAUGAAGGACGUGAUAAGCUGCGAUAAGCUUCGGGGAGUUGCACGUAAACUUUGAUCCGAAGAUUUCCGAAUGAGGAAACUCACUUAGAGUAAUGUCUAAGUAUCAUUAAGUGAAUACAUAGCUUAAUGAGGGGAACUCAGGGAACUGAAACAUCUAAGUACCUGAAGGAAGAGAAAGAAAUUCGAUUCCGUAAGUAGCGGCGAGCGAACGCGGAUUAGCCCAAACCAAUAAAGUUUUCUUUAUUGGGGUUGAGGACAUACCACAUAUAAGAGGUCAUUAUAGACGAAGAAGUUUGGAAAAACUCAUCAUAGAAGGUAAUAAUCCUGUAGUCAAAAUAAUAAUUCUUUAGGUAUGAUCCAGAGUACCACGGGACACGUGAAACCCUGUGGGAAGCAGGAGGGACCACCCUCCAAGGCUAAAUACUACCUAGUGACCGAUAGCGUAUAGUACCGUGAGGGAAAGGUGAAAAGAACCCCGGGAGGGGAGUGAAAUAGAACCUGAAACCCUGCACUUACAAGCUGUGGAAGCACAUUUCUUGUGUGACCGCGUACUUUUUGUAGAACGGGCCAACGAGUUACGUUAAGUAGCAAGGUUAAGCACUUAAGGUGUGGAGCCGUAGCGAAAGCGAGUUUUAACUGAGCGUUCAGUUACUUGACGUAGACCCGAAACCGGGCGACCUACCCAUGAGCAGGAUGAAGCGAAAGUAAAAUUUCGUGGAGGUCCGAACCCACGAGCGUUGAAAAGCUCGGGGAUGACUUGUGGGUAGCGGUGAAAUUCCAAUCGAGCCCGGAGAUAGCUGGUUCUCCCCGAAAUAGCUUUAGGGCUAGCCUCAAGGUGAGAGAUACGGAGGUAGAGCACUGAAUGUCCUAGGGGGUAUUGCACCUACCGAAGACUAUCAAACUCCGAAUGCCGUCAUCUUAUACUUGGGAGUCAGACUGUGGGUGAUAAGAUUCAUAGUCGAAAGGGCAACAGCCCAGAUCGUCAGCUAAGGUCCCUAAAUGUAAGUUAAGUGGUAAAGGAUGUGGGAUUGCACAGACAACCAGGAUGUUGGCUUAGAAGCAGCCACUCAUUCAAAGAGUGCGUAAUAGCUCACUGGUCGAGUGAUCCUGCGCCGAAGAUUUCCGGGGCUAAAACUUACUACCGAAGCUACGGCAUCAGUAAUGAUGGGUAGGGGAGCUUCCCAUACGGGUUGAAGCAUGACCGUAAGGACAUGUGGACAGUAUGGGAGUGAGAAUGUUGGCAUGAGUAGCGAGAUGUGGGUGAGAAUCCCACAGGCCGUAAACCCAAGGUUUCCAGGGGAAGGUUCGUCCGCCCUGGGUUAGUCGGGACCUAAGCUGAGGCCGAAAGGCGUAGGUGAUGGACAACAGGUUGAUAUUCCUGUACUACCGAUAACCGUUUGAGAGAAGGGAUGACACAGUAGGAUAAGCUAAGCACACUGUUGGUUAUGUGUGCCCAAGCAUUGAGGCAGUCAAAGUAGGCAAAUCCGCUUUGAUAAUGCUGGGAUGUGAUGGGGAGCGAAAUUUAGUAGCGAAGUAGCUGAUUUCACACUGUCAAGAAAAGUCUCUAUCGAGGUUAAAGGUACCCGUACCGCAAACCGACACAGGUGGGUGAGGAGAGUAUCCUAAGGCCAGCGAGAGAACUGUUGUUAAGGAACUCGGCAAAAUGACCCCGUAACUUAGGGAUAAGGGGUGCCACCAUCAGGUGGCCGCAGAGAAUAGGCCCAAGCGACUGUUUACCAAAAACAUAGGUUUCUGCUAAGUCGCAAGACGAUGUAUAGGAGCUGACGCCUGCCCGGUGCUGGAAGGUUAAGGGGAUCUGUUAGAGCAAUCGAAGCAGUGAACUUAAGCCCCAGUAAACGGCGGCCGUAACUAUAACGGUCCUAAGGUAGCGAAAUUCCUUGUCGGGUAAGUUCCGACCCGCACGAAAGGCGUAACGAUUUGGGCACUGUCUCAACAACAGACUCGGUGAAAUUGUAAUUCCGGUGAAGAUGCCGGAUACCUGCGACAGGACGGAAAGACCCCAUGGAGCUUUACUGUAGCUUGACAUUGGGUCUUGGUACUACAUGUACAGGAUAGGUGGGAGGCUUUGAAACCAGGACGCCAGUUUUGGCGGAGCCAUCCUUGGGAUACCACCCUUGUAGUACUGGGACUCUAACCAUAGGCCAUGAAUCUGGUCUUGGGACACUGUCAGGUGGGCAGUUUGACUGGGGCGGUCGCCUCCCAAAAGGUAACGGAGGCGCUCAAAGGUUCUCUCAGUACGGUCGGAAAUCGUACGUAGAGUGUAAAGGCAAAAGAGAGCUUGAUUGCAAGACAUACAGGUCGAGCAAGGAUGAAAAUCGGACUUAGUGAUCCGGUGGUUCUGCGUGGAAGGGCCAUCGCUCAACGGAUAAAAGCUACCCUGGGGAUAACAGGCUUAUCUCCCCCAAGAGUCCACAUCGACGGGGAGGUUUGGCACCUCGAUGUCGGCUCAUCACAUCCUGGGGCUGUAGUAGGUCCCAAGGGUUGGGCUGUUCGCCCAUUAAAGUGGUACGCGAGCUGGGUUCAGAACGUCGUGAGACAGUUCGGUCCCUAUCCGUCGCAGGCGUAGGAAAUUUGAGAAGACCUGUCCUUAGUACGAGAGGACCGGGAUGGACGUACCUCUGGUGUACCAGUUGUCCUGCCAAGGGCAUGGCUGGGUAGCUAUGUACGGAAUGGAUAAGCGCUGAAAGCAUCUAAGCGCGAAGCCAACUUCAAGAUAAGAUUUCCCACCGCAAGGGUAAGACCCCAGAAAGACUAUCUGGUUGAUAGGUCGAAGGUGUAAGUGCAGCAAUGUAUUUAGCUUAUCGAUACUAAUAGGUCGAGGACUUGACCAA
rnacentral:rRNA from 1 species